AUUGGGGAUCGCCGACUGCUUUUAUGACAUUUGGUGGCCUUUAGUCCUAUGGGAGCAGAUAGCAGCAGUUCGAGAGCGAGGUCGAAGUCGCAAUCAAGAUCGAGGGAAAAGGAACUAUUGAUCGAUAGAUUGGGAGAGGGCGGUGAUAUGAACGGUGGGGAGGCGGGAGGAGGAGGGAAGGAGAUGGAGGAGGACAGGAAGGAGGUCAGGGGAGCGGCGGCAGAUGAUGAGAUGGUGAAGGAGGAGGAGGGAAGGGCGAAGGAGAAGUCGGUGCUGAUGUGGGGCUACCUUCCGGGAGUGUCGCCGCAUAGAUCGCCGCUUCUUUACCCUGUUGCCGUCCGAAUGCCGGAUUCGGCCGCCAGAGACCGGUGGAUGGAUGUCAGCGGCGGCGGAUGCGGUUUCGCCAUGGCCAUUUCUGAGUCAGGCAAGCUCUUUACAUGGGGUUCAACAGAUGACAUGGGCCAAAGCUAUGUUACUUCAGGAAAACAUGAGGAGACACCGGAGGUAUUUCACCUUCCAACUGAGGUGCCCAUUGUCAAGGCAGCUGCAGGAUGGGCUCACUGUGUAUCAGUCACAGGCCAGCUAAUGGAGAAGUCUAUACAUGGGGAUGGAAAGAGUGUGUGCCAACUGGGAGGAUUGUCAAAGAACAGUCUUACUCUGGAGGAACCUCAGAAAAAGAAGAAAGGCAUAGUGGAUCAUUGAGUGAUCAAGUGAGCCCAAGGUUGCAGGGCUCAAGAAUUGGUGGAGUUGUUUCAGAAUUUGAUACUGGAUGUGGUGAGAAGAAUAGUAAGCGGAGAAGGCUAUCUUCAGCUAAAGUGGAACCAGAAAACAAAUCAUCUAGUGAAGAAACUCUUUCAGCUCUUCCAUGUCUUGUAACUCUUGACACAGGAGUCCGUAUCGCGAGUGUGGCUGCUGGUGGACGCCAUACACUGGCAUUGUCUGAUGUAGGCCAGGUCUGGGGUUGGGGAUAUGGAGGGGAAGGGCAACUUGGUUUAGGAUCUCGUAUCCGGAAUGUGUCUUCUCCUCAUCCGAUACCUUGUGUAGAGUCAGCUUCUUUUAGUAGAGACCAACCAUCAGCAGCUACCCAAGGAAAACAAAGUCUAGAUGGACAGGCUUAUAAAUGCAUGGGAAGCUGUGUAAAGGCCAUUGCUUGUGGAGGUCGUCACAGUGCUGCAGUUACAGAUACAGGAGCUCUACUUACUUUUGGGUGGGGACUCUAUGGACAGGUUAGCCUCCUCUUUAUUCCCUUUUCUGGUAAUUUGAUAAUUUAUUUGAUGACAUUACAUUUUUCUGCAUGAUUAUUAAUUUUUCCUGGAACUCUCUCAGCAAUAGAUUGUAGUUAUAAUAACAUCUGUAUAUCCAUUGUGGAUCCAUGUUAUUUACCCAUGGCCAUGUCCAUCUGCAGCAGCAGUUGAUUUCUCUUUAAAACUUCUCUUCCAUGCUUGGUUUUAGAUUGUACUAAUACUGAAAACUUGAGUUAAAAGGUUUCAUGAAAGUCAAGAUUUGGUUUUCUCAUUCAUUUCGGAAAUGGUAAAGCGAUGGAUCAUGCUACCUUUUAAUUUUAUAAUGAGUCAGCAAAGGUAUUCAAAGACAUGGAAGGAAUUGCUGGUUUGGAAUAUAUUACAUUCUAAUUCGGGUACCUUGCUCUUCAAUCUGAAUUAUUUUUGUAUGAACUUGUUCUCAAGUAUUAACCGUUCUCCAGGAUUAACAUGUAGGCAUUGUAGAAAAGAUGGAGAAAAAGCAAACUGUAAUGUCGAAGAUGAGAUCCACUGUAACAUGGGAAAUUGCCUUUUUUUAAUCUCUCGACUGUGGAUUUCCUUUGCAGCAUAUAAGGAAAGAAUAAACUGAUGCUUUUGUUUUUUUCUUCCUUUUCCUUCUUAUAUGCCAUUUCUAAUCAGUGUGGACAAGGAAGUACGAAUGACCAGCUGAGCCCAAAAUGUGUAUCAUCUCUAUUGGGUGUCAAGAUACAUGAAGUUGCUGCUGGCCUGUGGCAUACCAUCUGCACUUCUGUUGAUGGUGGUGUGUUUUCCUUUGGUGGGAAUCAGUUUGGGCAGCUAGGAACUGGUUCUGAUCAAGCUGAGACUCUUCCCAAGCUAUUGGAUGCUCCAUGUCUGGAAAACAAGAGUGCUAAACGGGUCUCUUGUGGAGCACGUCAUACUGCCGUGAUGACAGGAGAUGGACAAGUAUUUUGCUGGGGAUGGAACAAAUAUGGUCAGCUUGGUUUAGGAGACGCAACUGACAGAAACAUUCCCUCUUUGGUUCCGAUCAACAACUAUCAACCUAAAAAUGUAUCUUGCGGUUGGUGGCAUACAUUGGUUCUAUCGGAAUCUCCAACGUGAAGCUCUACUGUUCCAAAAACACUUAUCACAAUUUUGUAAGGUUCAUUAGGUUUUCAACUUAUUAUAUGUACAAAUAUGUACAUACCAGUCGACGGCAGCCACUGUUCGGCAGCCACUGUGUCACAUAUUUAGGCAUACGGUUGGUAGCAUGUAAGCAGCAAAACCAGUCAUUUAGCUUUCUGCCUCUUACUAAACUAUGUUGUACAGUAAUAAUGGUUUGAUCAAAGUUGCUGUUAAUAGAUGCCGUCAUGACAUUUGGCCCAAAUUGUGGCUUUUCCUAUUUUCUUACCACGGAAAAGCCAUAUGUUUUCUGACAUUAUUAACUUCAUAUCUGUAAUGGUUUUUGGUCAUAAUUGCUGCUUUGUACCUUCUUUAAA